rnacentral:rRNA from 1 species
GAUGAACGCUAGCGGGAGGCCUAACACAUGCAAGCCGAGCGGUAUUGUUUCUUCGGAAAUGAGAGAGCGGCGUACGGGUGCGUAACAUGUGUGCAACCUGCCUUUAUCUGGGGGAUAGCCUUUCGAAAGGAAGAUUAAUACUCCAUAAUAUAUUGAACGGCAUCGUUUAAUAUUGAAAGCUCCGGCGGAUAGAGAUGGGCACGCGCAAGAUUAGCUAGUUGGUGAGGUAACGGCUCACCAAGGCGAUGAUCUUUAGGGGGCCUGAGAGGGUGAUCCCCCACACUGGUACUGAGACACGGACCAGACUCCUACGGGAGGCAGCAGUGAGGAAUAUUGGUCAAUGGGUGCAAGCCUGAACCAGCCAUCCCGCGUGAAGGACGACUGCCCUAUGGGUUGUAAACUUCUUUUGUAUAGGGAUAAACCUACCCUCGUGAGGGUAGCUGAAGGUACUAUACGAAUAAGCACCGGCUAACUCCGUG